CGGGUUGAAAGGCAGCAGUUUAUGUCCAGUUAAUACAAUCAGGAGAGCAUCACUCAGCGAUUCCCACUGCACUUCGCUGCCGGGUACAAAAUGUCCUGGACCUGGUGAAAUUCUGACCCGAAGCAUUUGGAGAAGCAUUUCUGGAGGGCAGCGGGUCGCCCGACGCUGCCCAGCUCCGACGGGGAGAUACAAGAGGAGCUGAGCUGGUGGAAGAAAUGAAAUCAUUACCAGGACCUGUAUGGCUGCCGUGUGCUCUGCCCUUGUCGCCGGAUGCUGCGGACACCCACAGUUGAUGAUACCGAAGGGUUAAACACAGGGACAAGAGGAAAUUGGGAAAUUCAACCUCUGGUCUGUGGAUUCGCAGGCAAAAUACACGAGUUGUUUUUUUGGUGGUCUGUUUGGUCGACCUGUCUCCUUGACCCUGGAUCUCAAGGCCGAGUCUCUGGCACCAAGGGAUGCCAUGUUUGUCAUGGAAUGGACCACUUUGUCCAGAGGAAGGACAAGAAAAUUCCCCAGGAAGUCAGGCCUCUCCUCUGGGAAGAUGGAUGAACCUGUGGUGUAGAAGUAGGGACUAGAAUAUUCUCCAUAUCCUGCUACAUCUCUGCUCAUCAGAAGAGAAAAGAUAGCCUCUGCUAAGAAGGGGAAAAAAGACAUCCUCAGGAAUAAUUCAGUACAGGAAGCUGGCAGAGCUACAGCCCUCUAGCACCUCACAAAAUUUGCAAUUAUGUGUAAAGCUAAACCUUAGGAAAAGAGCAAUUUUAGUCUUCCUGGCUGGCCUGAAAGUAACCUCGCUGCCCUGUGCAACACAGUUACUGCCAGAGCAGCUGCAUGGGUAGAAACGCAUUUUUACAGUUAUUGGAGCAGGGAAUUGUGCUAGGAUUACUGGGUUCUUCCCCCAGCUCUGCCUUUGAUUUGUGGUAUGUGCAGACCCCUUAAUUUGUUUCUGUUUUCCCCAUCUGUGAAACUGAGAUAAGAUCACUAGGGAAUUGUUGAGUGUGAUUCAUUAAUGUUUAUUAGACAGAGGGAAAUCCUUAAAUGAAUGGCACUGUAUUCCAGGAGGACAAAGUUCAAGACUGUAAAGAGGUUGAUUAAAACCAAAUCUGCUAUUCCCAGGCUAGGAGGACAAAAAAAGAAAAUUGAAAAACCUUGCCUACCCCUAUGUUUGCCAAAAGCAGUAUGUGAUUUAAAUAAAAUCAAGCAGAAUGUACAAGUGUGCAUGCAUUCAUGCAUACAUAUGUAUCUAUGAAAACCAUUAAAUACUUAUUAGUAAAUGUAUACCAAAAAA